AGCAGUGACACAGAAGGAUAGGACGAGCGCGGUGAUGGUCAACCGCGUAGGCGGCACGAGGCCGGGAAGCAGUGAAGUACACUUCCCGCAAAGGCUGAGUGUUGACAGGACCGAAAAGAAGUAGGGAAGCGUCCGAGUUCACGCUGGCGAGAAAAGCUGCUAAGGAGAGUGUGAGUGCCCGUACCGGAAACCGACGCAGGUGGGCGAGGAGAGAAUCCUGAGACGGACGGGAGAACUCUUGUUAAGGAACUCGGCAAAAUGACCCCGUAACUUCGGGAGAAGGGGUGCCUCGAAAGAGGCCGCAGAGAAUAGUCACAAGCGACUGUUUAGCAAAAACACAGGUAUCUGCGAAAGCGAGAGCUGACGUAUAGGUGCUGACGCCUGCCCGGUGCUGGAAGGUUAAGGGGAAGUGUUAGGGGAAACCCGAAGCAGAGAACCGAAGCCCCAGUAAACGGCGGCCGUAACAAUAACGGUCCUAAGGUAGCGAAAUUCCUUGUCGGGUAAGUUCCGACCCGCACGAAUGGCGUAACGACUUGUGAGCUGUCUCAACAGGAGGCCCGGUGAAAUUGAAGUAUGUGUGAAGAUGCACAUUACCCGCGACUGGACGGAAAGACCCCGUAGAGCUUUACUGUAACCUGACAUUGGAUCUUGAUAACGGAUGCACAGGAUAGGUGGGACGCUGGGAGACGAGGACUUUGGUUUUCGUGGAGCGGCCGUUGGGAUACCACUCUUCUGUUAUUGAGAUUCUAACCUCAAGCCGUGAGCCGGAUGAGAGACAGUGUCAGGCGGACAGUUUGACUGGGGCGGUCGCCUCCGAAAGAGUAACGGAGGCGCCCAAAGGUACCCUCAGAAUGGAUGGAAACCAUUCGAAGAGAGCAAAGUCAGAAGGGUGCUUGACUGCGAGACCAACAAGUCGAGCAGGUACGAAAGUAGGGCUUAGUGAUCCGGCGGUAAGAGAGUGGAAUUGCCGUCGCUCAACGGAUAAAAGCUACCUCGGGGAUAACAGGCUGAUCUCCCCCAAGAGUUCACAUCGACGGGGAGGUUUGGCACCUCGAUGUCGGCUCGUCGCAUCCUGGGGCUGAAGCAGGUCCCAAGGGUUUGGCUGUUCGCCAAUUAAAGCGGCACGCGAGCUGGGUUCAGAACGUCGUGAGACAGUUCGGUCCCUAUCCAUCGUGGGCGAAGGACACAUGAGAGGAGCUGCUCCUAGUACGAGAGGACCGGAGUGGACGCAUCACUGGUGCAACUGUUGUCGUGCCAACGGCACAGCAGGGAAGCGAAAUGCGGACGGGAUAAACGCUGAAGGCAUCUAAGCGUGAAGCCCACCUCAAGAAUAAGUGUCCCAUUCGAAAGAAGUAAGACCCCUGGAAGACUACAGGUGAUAGGUCAUCGGUGAAAGAGUGGCAACAUUUGGAGCUUGAUGAUACUAAUCGGUCGAGGACUUGACCA
rnacentral:rRNA from 1 species